UCUGCCUGGUAGUGGGGGACAACGUUUCGAAAGGGACGCUAAUACCGCAUACGUCCUACGGGAGAAAGCAGGGGACCUUCGGGCCUUGCGCUAUCAGAUGAGCCUAGGUCGGAUUAGCUAGUUGGUGAGGUAAUGGCUCACCAAGGCGACGAUCCGUAACUGGUCUGAGAGGAUGAUCAGUCACACUGGAACUGAGACACGGUCCAGACUCCUACGGGAGGCAGCAGUGGGGAAUAUUGGACAAUGGGCGAAAGCCUGAUCCAGCCAUGCCGCGUGUGUGAAGAAGGUCUUCGGAUUGUAAAGCACUUUAAGUUGGGAGGAAGGGCAGUAAAUUAAUACUUUGCUGUUUUGACGUUACCGACAGAAUAAGCACCGGCUAACUCUGUGCCAGCAGCCGCGGUAAUACAGAGGGUGCAAGCGUUAAUCGGAAUUACUGGGCGUAAAGCGCGCGUAGGUGGUUUGUUAAGUUGGAUGUGAAAUCCCCGGGCUCAACCUGGGAACUGCAUUCAAAACUGACAAGCUAGAGUAUGGUAGAGGGUGGUGGAAUUUCCUGUGUAGCGGUGAAAUGCGUAGAUAUAGGAAGGAACACCAGUG
rnacentral:rRNA from 1 species